rnacentral:rRNA from 1 species
GUGGGGAAUCUUGCGCAAUGGGCGAAAGCCUGACGCAGCCAUGCCGCGUGGAUGAUGAAGGUCUUAGGAUUGUAAAAUCCUUUCACCGGUGAAGAUAAUGACUGUAGCCGGAGAAGAAGCCCCGGCUAACUUCGUGCCAGCAGCCGCGGUAAUACGAAGGGGGCUAGCGUUGCUCGGAAUUACUGGGCGUAAAGGGAGCGUAGGCGGACAUUUAAGUCAGGGGUGAAAUCCCGAGGCUCAACCUCGGAACUGCCUUUGAUACUGGGUGUCUUGAGUGUGAGAGAGGUGAGUGGAACUCCGAGUGUAGAGGUGAAAUUCGUAGAUAUUGGGAAGAACACCGGUGGCGAAGGCGACCACCUGGCUCGGUUCUGACGCUGAGGCGCGACAGCGUGGGGAGCAAACAGGAUUAGAAACCCGGGUAGUCC